CCUACGGGUGGCAGCAGUGGGGAAUAUUGCACAAUGGGCGCAAGCCUGAUGCAGCCAUGCCACGUGUAUGAAGAGGGCCUUCGGGUUGUAAAGUACUUUCAGCGGGGAGGAAGGCGAUAAGGUUAAUAACCUUGUCGAUUGACGUUACCCGCAGAAGAAGCACCGGCUAACUCCGUGCCAGCAGCCGCGGUAAUACGGAGGGUGCAAGCGUUAAUCGGAAUUACUGGGCGUAAAGCGCACGCAGGCGGUCUGUCAAGUCGGAUGUGAAAUCUCCGGGCUCAACCUGGGAACUGCAUUCGAAACUGGCAGGCUAGAGUCUUGUAGAGGGGGGUAGAAUUCCAGGUGUAGCGGUGAAAUGCGUAGAGAUCUGGAGGAAUACCGGUGGCGAAGGCGGCCCCCUGGACAAAGACUGACGCUCAGGUGCGAAAGCGUGGGGGGCGAACAGGAUUAGAUACCCCGGGUAGUC
rnacentral:rRNA from 1 species